GACAGGUAUGGGAGUGAGAAUGUUGGCAUGAGUAGCGAGAUGUGGGUGAGAAUCCCACAGGCCGUAAACCCAAGGUUUCCAGGGGAAGGUGCGUCCGCCCUGGGUUAGUCGGGACCUAAGCUGAGGCCGAAAGGCGUAGGUGAUGGACAACAGGUUGAUAUUCCUGUACUACCGAUAACCAUUUGAGAGAAGGGAUGACACAGUAGGAUAAGCUAAGCACACUGUUGGUUAUGUGUGCCCAAGCAUUGAGGCAGUCAAAGUAGGCAAAUCCGCUUUGAUAAUGCUGGGAUGUGAUGGGGAGCGAAAUUUAGUAGCGAAGUAGCUGAUUUCACACUGUCAAGAAAAGUCUCUAUCGAGGUUAAAGGUACCCGUACCGCAAACCGACACAGGUG
rnacentral:rRNA from 1 species